rnacentral:rRNA from 1 species
UACAGAGGUCCCAAGCGUUGUUCGGAUUCACUGGGCGUAAAGGGUGCGUAGGUGGCAAGGUAAGUUCGAUGUGAAAGCUUCGAGCUCAACUCGGAAAUUGCAUUGAAAACUAUCUUGCUUGAGGGUCGGAGGGGAGACUGGAAUUCUCGGUGUAGCAGUGAAAUGCGUAGAUAUCGAGAGGAACACCGGUGGCGAAGGCGAGUCUCUGGACGAUUCCUGACACUGAGGCACGAAAGCUAGGGGAUCAAACAGG